UAUUACUGUUUGUUUUAAUUUAUUGUUACUACCUGUCUGUAAAACCUGUUUUCUUUCUUGGCGUGUGCUGCUGACCUCUUGGACAGGUCACCCUUGUAAGAGAGAUCUCAAUCUCAAUAGGAUUCUAUCUGGCUAAAUAAAGGUUUACUUAUUAUUAUUAUUAAUAAUGAUAAU